rnacentral:rRNA from 1 species
CAUCUAGAUUCGCGGCCUAUCAGCUUGUUGGUGAGGUAACGGCUCACCAAGGCGUCGACGGGUAGCUGGUCUGAGAGGACGAUCAGCCACACUGGGACUGAGACACGGCCCAGACUCCUACGGGAGGCAGCAGUGGGGAAUCUUGCGCAAUGGGCGAAAGCCUGACGCAGCAACGCCGCGUGGGGGAUGACGGCUUUCGGGUUGUAAACCCCUUUCAGCAGGGACGAUAAUGACGGUACCCGCAGAAGAAGCCCCGGCCAACUACGUGCCAGCAGCCGCGGUAAUACGUAGGGGGCAAGCGUUGUCCGGAUUUAUUGGGCGUAAAGGGCUCGUAGGCGGCUUGGCAAGUCGGAUGUGAAAAUUCCAGGCUCAACCUGGAAACGCCAUUCGAUACUGCUAUAGCUUGAGACCGGCAGGGGAACACGGAAUUCCUGGUGUAGCGGUGAAAUGCGCAGAUAUCAGGAGGAACACCAGUGGCGAAGGCGGUGUUCUGGGCCGGCACUGACGCUGAGGAGCGAAAGCGUGGGGAGCGAACAGGAUUAGAUACCCUGGUAGUCCACGCCGUAAACGUUGGGCACUAGGUGUGGGACCCUAUCGACGGGUUCCGUGCCGUAGCUAACGCAUUAAGCGCCCCGCCUGGGGAGUACGA